rnacentral:lncRNA from 1 species
CUUGAGAGAAAAUUUUCUAAAUCUCUUUACUCUUUUUGUUUGCAGCCUAGGUUGGAGAUCUCAGUUCACUGACCUAUAGGGUCCUCCGGUAGUUUAAAGAAACGCCCUGCUUACCAUUAAGGCAUAGCGAGAGUCAGGAAGAAUGAAGAUCCAAUAUAAAGAAGGUGGGAAGACUUGGAGGUGCCCUUGGGUGUAGAAAAGAGGUUUCUGUCUUUAGAAGGCCUUUCCACAUCAAAAUGACAUCUUUGGCAUUUGUAGAGGUGUGAGGUAAGAGAUCUUAUUACUCUGUCCCCCAAGAUGCUCAGCAAGUUAUUCCAAUUUAUUGAUUAGUUCAUCCUUUCCUUACUGAUUUUAAAGGC